rnacentral:lncRNA from 1 species
GCCGAGGCGAGGUCGCGGCUAAGCAGAGGCGCCGGGGUUUCUGGGCCGGGCUUCUCAGGACCGGGCUGGAACGUGCAGCUCCUGGCCGGGACACUCUGUGCUUUGCGGGGAAGGGAAGUGGCGGAGCCCGAGGAUCCGCUGCCGCUCGGGACUGAGCCCGCCACGCAGGCGCCUGUGCCAGCGUCGCCAUUGUUGCCUGUGGCCUUAGGGCCGCUCCGGCUGCCCGUCGGCCGGGUCCCAGCGACAGCAGCUCCAUCCCCCACCAACCCCAAGCAGAUGGCAGUUCCCUUACAAGUCUAAGGAUAUAGGGGAGGAAGACAAGGGUCUCUUAUCCAUCCCUGCAAGUUCUGGGCUCAGAAUUUGUCACUAAGGCUGCUAACUCUACCUUGAUUCUGUUCUGCCCUCGGCUGCAGCAGCCUUUGAUAUAGUGUCCUUGUGACUCUAGCAUGAGACUUCAAGCAGUUGGCUCACUACUGGAGAAAUAAAGGAUAUUGCCAGAUUGACUCUCCUGUCUGUAGCAAUGUUAGCCUCAAGCAAGAGGAUGAACAGUUCUUCACGUUCUCAAAUCCUUCUAAGGUGGAAGUCAGACAAGGCUCAGAGUGGACCCUACAAUGUUGAGAAGGAAAUCCUUACUUCAAGAUUCUUGCGUGACACUGAGACCUGUCGACAGAAUUUUAGGAAUUUUCCAUACC